rnacentral:rRNA from 1 species
AAAGCGUGCGCAGGCGGUUAUGUAAGACAGUUGUGAAAUCCCCGGGCUCAACCUGGGAACCGCAUCUGUGACUGCAUAGCUAGAGUACGGUAGAGGGGGAUGGAAUUCCGCGUGUAGCAGUGAAAUGCGUAGAUAUGCGGAGGAACACCGAUGGCGAAGGCAAUCCCCUGGACCUGUACUGACGCUCAUGCACGAAAGCGUGGGGAGCAAACAGGAUUAGAUACCCCUGU